ACCCAUUAAUCGACGAUAAACCCCCUUACCUGAUUAAUCCGGCAAAUCUUUGAGCUCCAAGCUUUUCUCUCUUCAACCUUCAGCCCUUGCUCUGUCUCUUUGCCCUUUUCCUCUUUCACGAUCGUCUCUCUGUUUUUCACGUAAAAACCUUUUUACUCCAAAAUGGGCUCUUUUCCUAUUUCCCAACAUAUAUAUAUUUUCCAAUAAUAAUAAUAAUAAUAAUAAAAUUUCCAAUUAUUUAAUUAAAUUAAUAAAUAAAUUAUUAACUCAAUUUAAAUAAUUAUUUUAUUAUUAUCGGGGUGUUACAAAGUGCACUUUGAAGUAUGUUGGUUGCUUUCUUAUUAUAAAUGACUUUUUUCUUAUCAUCUUCAUCCCAUAAACUUUUAGGAAUG
rnacentral:lncRNA from 1 species